UUCAGUUCAAGGACUGUGCUGGCCAUUCACUACCAGAGUCAAAUGCUGACCACGUCCAUGGAGUGUUGCAGCCUCUGAGCAUGAUCUUCAAUAGCAUCAGCAAACUGUGUGAGCUCCUCCCAGAGCAGAAGGGAUUUGCUUUCCUGCCAUGAAAAUGCAAGUGACCGAGGAUGGAGGAGGAAGUUGUGCAUUCUGUUCCAUUUCCCAGGAGUCUGACAUUGUCCUGCAGGAUAAAAGGAUUCAUUUCAUAGAGUAUUAUAGGAGUACUGAGUGAAAUGCUGUCUAUCCUAUUUUUAUUUGAGAACAAUUUCUGGCUAAUGUAAAGCUGGCUGCCCAAGCUUUAGUGUCUUCUAACCUGCUAAAAAACUCA